CCUACGGGAGGCAGCAGUGGGGAAUAUUGGGCAAUGGGCGAAAGCCUGACCCAGCGACGCCGCGUGAGGGACGAAGGCCUUCGGGUUGUAAACCUCUUUCAGCAGGGAAGAAGCGAAAGUGACGGUACCUGCAGAAGAAGCACCGGCUAACUACGUGCCAGCAGCCGCGGUAAUACGUAGGGUGCAAGCGUUGUCCGGAAUUAUUGGGCGUAAAGAGCUCGUAGGUGGUUUGCCACGUCGGAUGUGAAAACCUGAGGCUUAACCUCAGGCCUGCAUUCGAUACGGGCAGACUAGAGUGUGGUAGGGGAGACUGGAAUUCCUGGUGUAGCGGUGAAAUGCGCAGAUAUCAGGAGGAACACCGGUGGCGAAGGCGGGUCUCUGGGCCAUAACUGACACUGAGGAGCGAAAGCGUGGGGAGCAAACAGGAUUAGAUACCCUGGUAGUCCACGCCGUAAACGGUGGGCACUAGAUGUGGGGACCUUCCACGGUCUCUGCGUCGCAGCUAACGCAUUAAGUGCCCCGCCUGGGGAGUACGGCCGCGAAGGCUAAAACUCAAAAGAAGUAAGUAGGCGUUGAGAGUUGUUCCGAACGGACGACCACCGAGGGAGGGUUAGG
rnacentral:rRNA from 1 species